UGGCUUAGUGGUUAAAGUAUAUGGCUCAUGAUCAUAAGGUCACAAGUUCGAUUCCUGG
rnacentral:tRNA from 1 species